rfam:Nicotiana attenuata strain TT chromosome 1, whole genome shotgun sequence.
GGAUGCGAUCAUACCAGCACUAACGCACCGGAUCCCAUCAGAACUCCGAAGUUAAGCGUGCUUUGGCGAGAGUAGUACUAGGAUGGGUGACCCCCUGGGAAGUCCUCGUGUUGCAUCCC